rnacentral:snoRNA from 1 species
AGUGAUAACGGUGAUGAAAAGCUUUAAUCCCAGUCCAUUAUAAGACAUUCUCCUUACAAACUCAAGGAAAAUACUCACAUUUUUCUGAGCUUUACU